UGCAUUUGAUAAAAUAAUAAAUUUUUGAAUACUAUUCUUUAAGUUCUAAAAAUUUUAUAUUAAUUUUAUGACAUUUUAUCUAGAAUCUGCAAAAAAUGAAAAUCAUAUAUAAUUUAUUAAAAUCCAUAAAUUGUGGGUGUACACCAUUAAAAUCUAAGUUAAUACACCCUCUAGUUUUGUUUUGGUCUAAUAAUAAACGAAAAAAAAUUGAUAUUGAUCAAAUAUAAUUAUUUUAUGUUAGGUCCCGAUAGAGUGUAAUUUAAGCUAGAAGGGGGGGUUGAAUAGCUUAAUCACCAAUUUAAAAAUUGAUGUGGUGUAAUAAAAUUUAUCCCCCUUUUGAAUAGCUUUUAUCGAAAGUAUAGGCAGUUUAUGUGUGCGGAAGCAAUGUAAGAGUAAUACGACACACGAGAUUUUAUCCUGGUUCGCGGUGGCUAACUCAACAAUUGGAGUCCACUCACCCCUACUCCAGUCCCCGAGCUCCUCCCCGGACUCGAGAUUUUCUCUACUAUAAAGAAACUCCUUUACAGUAGGCGGAGAAGCCUUUACAAAUAUAUAUCUUGGAGCGUAACUUCCCGUUACCUCCUCACUAUAAAUGUAAACUUACAAGACUCUUCUUGGAGCGUAACUCCCCGUCACCUCCUCAAAGUCGUUGUACUCCGGGUGUAGUCUUUGAACUUCUAAACUUUUGCGGGUCUUGGAUCUUAGGUCUUAGGUCUUGGGUCUUUCCUCUUCCUCACGGUGCAAAGACGACUAACUCCCCGUUAGCUCGUCUAGGACUUGGGUCUUAGAACGAAGAUCACCUCACUUCACUUCACCUCACUGCAAAACUUAGAAAACAAUAUCUACGACAAAUAAUCCUUGUUUAUAAAAAGGGUUUUGGACUAGACACAACUAGGCCGAUAGUGUAUAUAUAUAUGUUGAUGAUAUAUAUAUUUAAAGUAUACUUUCCGAAUGAUUUAGAAAGAUUUAAGUAUACUUGAUGUUUUACUCCAAUACUAAAGAUGAGUAUAUAGUUGGAGUAAUAAAAGUCUUAUAAGCUUUAGUCUCGCUUAAGACUUGUAUAAUACUUGUCUUUUUGACUAAGUAUAUAUUACUUCGAAUAUACGUCUAUUUUCG
rnacentral:lncRNA from 1 species